rnacentral:tRNA from 1 species
GCAUUGGUGGUUCAGUGGUAGGAUUCUGGCCUUUCAUUCAGGAGACCUGGGUUCUAUUCCCAACCAAUACA